rnacentral:rRNA from 1 species
AGAGUUUGAUCCUGGCUCAGGACGAACGCUGGCGGCGUGCCUAAUACAUGCAAGUCGAGCGGACAGAUGGGAGCUUGCUCCCUGAUGUUAGCGGCGGACGGGUGAGUAACACGUGGGUAACCUGCCUGUAAGACUGGGAUAACUCCGGGAAACCGGGGCUAAUACCGGAUGGUUGUUUGAACCGCAUGGUUCAAACAUAAAAGGUGGCUUCGGCUACCACUUACAGAUGGACCCGCGGCGCAUUAGCUAGUUGGUGAGGUAACGGCUCACCAAGGCAACGAUGCGUAGCCGACCUGAGAGGGUGAUCGGCCACACUGGGACUGAGACACGGCCCAGACUCCUACGGGGGGCAGCAGUAGGGAAUCUUCCGCAAUGGACGAAAGUCUGACGGAGCAACGCCGCGUGAGUGAUGAAGGUUUUCGGAUCGUAAAGCUCUGUUGUUAGGGAAGAACAAGUACCGUUCGAAUAGGGCGGUACCUUGACGGUACCUAACCAGAAAGCCACGGCUAACUACGUGCCAGCAGCCGCGGUAAUACGUAGGUGGCAAGCGUUGUCCGGAAUUAUUGGGCGUAAAGGGCUCGCAGGCGGUUUCUUAAGUCUGAUGUGAAAGCCCCCGGCUCAACCGGGGAGGGUCAUUGGAAACUGGGGAACUUGAGUGCAGAAGAGGAGAGCGGAAUUCCACGUGUAGCGGUGAAAUGCGUAGAGAUGUGGAGGAACACCAGUGGCGAAGGCGACUCUCUGGUCUGUAACUGACGCUGAGGAGCGAAAGCGUGGGGAGCGAACAGGAUUAGAUACCCUGGUAGUCCACGCCGUAAACGAUGAGUGCUAAGUGUUAGGGGGUUUCCGCCCCUUAGUGCUGCAGCUAACGCAUUAAGCACUCCGCCUGGGGAGUACGGUCGCAAGACUGAAACUCAAAGGAAUUGACGGGGGCCCGCACAAGCGGUGGAGCAUGUGGUUUAACUCGAAGCAACGCGAAGAACCUUACCAGGUCUUGACAUCCUCUGACAAUCCUAGAGAUAGGACGUCCCCUUCGGGGGCAGAGUGACAGGUGGUGCAUGGUUGUCGUCAGCUCGUGUCGUGAGAUGUUGGGUUAAGUCCCGCAACGAGCGCAACCCUUGAUCUUAGUUGCCAGCAUUCAGUUGGGCACUCUAAGGUGACUGCCGGUGACAAACCGGAGGAAGGUGGGGAUGACGUCAAAUCAUCAUGCCCCUUAUGACCUGGGCUACACACGUGCUACAAUGGACAGAACAAAGGGCAGCGAAACCGCGAGGUUAAGCCAAUCCCACAAAUCUGUUCUCAGUUCGGAUCGCAGUCUGCAACUCGACUGCGUGAAGCUGGAAUCGCUAGUAAUCGCGGAUCAGCAUGCCGCGGUGAAUACGUUCCCGGGCCUUGUACACACCGCCCGUCACACCACGAGAGUUUGUAACACCCGAAGUCGGUGAGGUAACCUUUUAGGAGCCAGCCGCCGAAGGUGGGACAGAUGAUUGGGGUGAAGUCGUAACAAGGUAGCCGUAUCGGAAGGUGCGGCUG